UAAAAGAUGGUCAUCGCCCCUCAGAGACGG
rnacentral:piRNA from 1 species